GUGUAGCAGGCGCGAAAACUUCACAAUGUGCGAAAGCACAAUGAGGGAAUCCCAAGUGCUUGCACGUAAGUGUAAGCUGUUUCUCUGUCUAAAACGCAGAGAGAGUAAGGGCUGGGUAAGACGGGUGCCAGCCGCCGCGGUAAUACCUGCAGCUCGAGUGGUGACCGUUAUUAUUGGGCCUAAAACGUCCGUAGCCGGUUUAAUAAAUGCCUGGGUAAAUCGGACCGCUUAACGGUUCGAAUUCCGGGUAGACUGUUAAACUUGAGACCGGGAGAAGUUAGAGGUACUCCUGGGGUAGAGGUGAAAUUCUGUAAUCCUAGGGGGACCACCAGUGGCGAAGGCGUCUAACUAGAACGGGUCUGACGGUGAGGGACGAAG
rnacentral:rRNA from 1 species